UGUAUUGAUACUUUUCUGGUUCAUAUAUAUAUUGAAGCUUCUAAUCGUUGAAUCUAUUGUGUAUUUGUGUGUUCUUUGGCUUGGUUGCAUACCCGUUUGAAUUCCGCACUUGCGGGUGUGUUUGGUAACAAGAAUAAGGUGUUCUAGAUCCUCCUAGGGACCUACAUCAAUCAACAAAAGUGGUAAUGAUCUGCUCCAUAACAACAAAGCAAAGCAAGUAUGUCUCAAAUCUGCAACCCUAGCAUUAGCAACCAUUCGAAACCGACCCGUUACCUCCAGGUCCAGGUUCAAUCGAUUCAAUGACGUGUAGAGAGUGCGUGACAAUUGGUUUAGGGUUCCGACUAGAGAUAUUCCAAAGAGAAGAAGAGAUAAAUAGGAGUGAGAGAAAUGAAGUGAGAAGACAGAAGGGGAAGGGGGUUCCGACCAGCCACCAAGCUAUUUCAUUCAAGCAGCAGACCCUUCUCAUCAAAUCCAUUCCAUUCUGGUUGAUUUCUCGCUCUUCAGCAAAAGUAUGAAUGCUCCGGUGAUGGUUGAGUUGGAGGGUGAGACUGAUCCACUUGAUGUAAUGGUUGUUAUGUGUUCGGUUUUGAGUUUUUGUUUGGUUAAAGUAUGGUUUGUGUUGAAAUAAUUAGAAGUUGUUGUCUAGUACAAUGUUCUUUUGCAUAAGUUUAGAUAGUUUUGCCCCUUAUAUGACCAUGGGUCCAUGACAGCAUUGUUAAUCAAGGGUUGAAAACGAGUAACUUCCGUUAAUAAAUCCUUUAAAUAGCUAACAUAGGAGAGUUGUGGCUAUCAUCUGGUCACAGAUUUGUUUAUUUUUGUCAUAUAUAUAAGGCCUUGAUCUAUCGUUUGCUUCUCUUAAAUCUGAUUCUUGCUCUAGUUCUAAUUGUAUUGGUCAAACUUUGUCUACUUUACUCAGUUCCUACUAAAUUAUAGUCUAAAUUUAGAUUGAAAAAUGGUUACCAAGGUGGAAAAACAGGCGGGUUAGGUGAUGGAUCAAAACUAGUAAUAUUAAUGUGCAAGCUGAGCCAGCGGCACAACACACAAUUCAAUAAAUACAUCCUAUCGAUCAGUUUGUUUUGAGUUGAAUGUAUUAAUAAUGUGUUAAAUGUGAUUGCAAAGACUAUAUUAUUACGAAAGUAAAUCAAUCUUUUUUUAUCAAAGCUAUUUAAUAGGCUUUUAUACAUUCUUUGGAUAACUUUUAAGCUGUUUGGCACUUUGGCUCAAACUAAUCCUUUUGCCUAACUCAUUCCCCAUCUGACCCGUUAUAUAUACAACAUGCCUGUUAUUUACACAUUUUUAAGUAUACGGGUUGAAACUACCACCCCUGUCCAGUUCCUAACACUCAGACUCAAACCUCGAUGUUAGUGGUAUUUCAAACUGGAUAAUAUUUCAUGUUUGAAACACUGGAGAUGCUACAUAUCUGAUACAGUUUGUUAGGUGCAUUUUUUGUUCUUUAUAAGGGUUUGGAACUGAAGUAAAUCAAAGCUAUCUAGAUAGUAAAAUUCCAGUUUUGGUUGGGUGAUUUUGAAACCAAACUCAUUCAACCCAUCUUGUCUACUUUUAUCCAUAUGAUCAGCUAUUAAUAAACUAUAUCCCAUUUGAAUUUUGUUAGUUCUACUCUUUUUGACCCAUUAGCAAUAAAAUAAAAACCUCUUAAAUGAAGGACCAAUUAAAACAAGUGUUGUUUUUUUUUUCUUCUAUUGCUAUGAAGGAGCUUAGACAGCGGAGAAUACCCUUCACUAUUCGCCAAUAUCUACCCGAAGGAAGGUUGGCGGCGAAUAGUUUGUCCACCGCACCCCUCUACUGCUUGAAAUACUCUCGAGCGUGUUUACGGUCCUCACCAUAUUGGUUUGGUGGAUAGUGGAUACUAUUGAUGUUUUUAAACUAAAUAUAGAUAUAGGGGCCGUUCUGUAAUUAGUAGAUAGUUAGUUUAUGUUAUAAUUAGAUUAGUUAGUAAGUGCGAGGACCGGAUGCGACAAAGUGAAAGAUUGUAACCUACACUUAAUCAAGGGACGCCUCUCCUGGAGACAUACCUGUUCGGAAUCAGCGCCAACAAGAGAGGAAGCAAGAGACACGAUGUUUCAAGGAGACACACCUCUUCAAGAUCAAUCUCAACCACAAGUUCAAGAGUCGCAACCGUUCGUGAAGAGACACGUCUCUAUCGUCGCAUCUAUUCGUAUAGUAUAUAUAGGGUUCAUGCAUGUCAAUUGUAAUCAUCACUUUUUCAUUCAAUACAAGCAAGUUUAUUAUUCUUGA